AGAGCUGCAGGUUGCAGACCCCUGAUCUAAACACGAGUUUUUGUAACUAAUGUCAUUAAAUAAUCACACAAACCUUUGCAAUAAAGGUUGAUUAGUUCUUAGAAUUGUAUUUAACUCUUGAGAAAAUAAAAUAAGAACCAGAAAAUGCAAUUAUUUGAUUCUCAAAAUAAAAUCUCAGUAUUUCUCAAUCCUGGUUUAAGGGCCUCAGCCCUGAAUAGUUUACAUUUUUUCCUUUUCCAGCACACCUGAUUCAAAUACCUGCAUUAUCAAGCUCAUGCGACACAUGCUAAAGAGCUGAGGAUUUGAAUCCAGGGAGCUGAACCGGAGAAACAUGUCAAACAUGCAGUGAAAGGAGGAGAUCAGCCUCAAUAUCAAUCAGAGUGAUACACCUCAGAAGAUACCAUCUUUGUUGGAGCAAAACUGUCAACAAAUUCAGCUGAUUGGUGGCCAGAAGAGCAUACAGUGAGUUCUGGCUGUCAACAUCUGCUCCAGAGACCGCACCAUCUGCACGAGGCCCUGGGGGGAGCAUCCUUCCUCAUCUCGGAGCAGCUGCAGAGCCUCAGACAUGGACCGAAGCCGCCUCGCAGAGUCAGAGAACACAGCCAAGACGCAGUUGGAGCUGCUGUUGGAACAUCCAUUUCACAAAAGCUCGUCUUGAGGAUGGAAUCACAAAACGCAUUUUCAUUGAUUUUAAUCCAGCAGCAGCAAAUGAGUCAACACAGCCAACCUUUAAGACCUUUUUUUAUUUCAUCAGUUCGAAAGAAACGAGUAAGAACCGUGUACAAAGUUUAUACGUUUACUAAAGCUGGUGUCAUCAGUCAUGGGAAUAAAAAGAGGGGCAGGUACAAAAAAGUUUGAAUGAAAAAAUAUAAAAGUCAUUUUCCCAUUGUUCGGAAUUUGAGAGUAAAAAGGGAGAGGCAUAGGAGUAAGCAACAAACAGACUCAAAAAGGAAAAAAAAA